ensembl:lncRNA
CAAUUUUCCUCCUUUACAGGAACUAAUGAAAAUUGUUAAAGCUGAUAGUUGUUGAUGGUAAGAAAAAAAGUGAAAUUCAAAACUGAAACUGAAUCCCACAUUUUAAAAGGGGAAGAAAGAGAGGCAAGGCAGGAAGAAAAGAGGUGAGUCUGGGGCUCCCCAGAUAGUGCUAGCAGUAAAGAACCUACCUGCCAAUUCAGAAGAUGCAAAAGACGUGGGCUCAAUCCCUGGGUCAGGAAGACCCCCUGGAGAAGAACAUGGCAAGCCACUCCAGUAUUCUUUCCUGGAGAAUACUAUGGACAGAGGAGCCUUGUGGGCUACAAGUCCAUAGAGUUACAAAGAGUCAGACACAACUGAAGCUACUUAGCAUGCACGCAGAUAUGCAAUUGGAACUGUGCUGGGUACAGAGAGUGGG